GAUGAACGCUGGCGGCGUGCCUAAUACAUGCAAGUCGAGCGAACGGACGAGAAGCUUGCUUUUCUGAUGUUAGCGGCGGACGGGUGAGUAACACGUGGAUAACCUACCUAUAAGACUGGGAUAACUUCGGGAAACCGGAGCUAAUACCGGAUAAUAUUUUGAACCGCAUGGUUCAAAAGUGAAAGACGGUCUUGCUGUCACUUAUAGAUGGAUCCGCGCUGCAUUAGCUAGUUGGUAAGGUAACGGCUUACCAAGGCAACGAUGCAUAGCCGACCUGAGAGAGGGAUCGGCCACACGGGAACUGAGACGCGGUCCAGACGCCUACGGGAGGCAGCAGUAGGGAAUCGUCCGCAAUGGGCGAAAGCCUGACGGAGCAACGCCGCGUGAGUGAUGAAGGUCUUCGGAUCGUAAAACUCUGUUAUUAGGGAAGAACAUAUGUGUAAGUAACUGUGCACAGCUUGACGGUACCUAAUCAGAAAGCCACGGCUAACUACGUG
rnacentral:rRNA from 1 species